rnacentral:rRNA from 1 species
CCUACGGGUGGCUGCAGUGGGGGAUAUUGGACAAUGGGGGGAACCCUGAUCCAGCGACGCCGCGUGAGUGAAGAAGUAUUUCGGUAUGUAAAGCUCUGUCAGCAGGGAAGAAAGAAAUGACGGUACCUGACCAAGAAGCCCCGGCUAACUACGUGCCAGCAGCCGCGGUAAUACGUAGGGGGCAAGCGUUAUCCGGAUUUACUGGGUGUAAAGGGAGCGUAGACGGCGGGGCAAGUCUGGAGUGAAAGGCCGGGGCCCAACCCCGGGACCGCUCUGGAAACUGCCCGGCUGGAGUGCGGGAGAGGUAAGCGGAAUUCCUAGUGUAGCGGUGAAAUGCGUAGAUAUUAGGAGGAACACCAGCGGCGAAGGCGGCUUACUGGACCGUGACUGACGUUGAGGCUCGAAAGCGUGGGGAGCAAACAGGAUUAGAUACCCUAGUAGUC